UGUAUUAAUUUCAGCUUUGUAGUUUUCAAACCUGGUUGUGAAAUUUCAAGAACACUUCCAAUAUUUGAAUCUGUGAGAAGAACAACAAAAAGAAUGAGUGUGGCUCUGGGAAACACUCUACAGGGUUUCUUAACCUUCAAGGAUGUGGCUCCAGAGUUCACACUAGAGGAAUGGGAAAGUCUCAAUUAUGCUCAGCGGGCACUGUACAUGGAUGUGAUUUUGGAGACGUACAACAAUCUAUUGUCUGUGGAAAAUAAUCUGAUAGGUGGAAAACAUGGGAAUGUCUUGGAACAAGACACAGAGUGCAUUGUCCAUGAGCAUAUGAAUAUCCAAAAGAAGUUUUGUAAAUGGGAUGAAAUUAGCAAAAUGACUCUUGAAUCCACCCAAAGUACACCCUAUAAGACUCAUCUCCGAGAUUCCUCUCUUCAGUCCUCAAACCUGAAAAGACAUAAAGCUGGCAAAAUGAGAGAAGUUUACAAAUAUAGAGACUGUGUACAGUUUUCAAAUGAAUGUGCUAUCAUUGGUGUAAAUUCUGGAAUCCACAUAGAGAACAAAGAACACAAAAAUACAGAAUUUGAUAAGGAUUUUGUCUAUAAACAUAAACUGAUGCUGAAACAAGACAUUAAUGGUAAGAACCUUCACCAAUGUAGUACAUGCAAUAAAUGCUUUUCCAGAAAAGGGAAUCUUCAUUUGCAUCAAAGAAUUCAUUCAGGAGAGAAACCUUACAAAUGUAGUCAAUGUGACAAAUAUUUUGCCCAACAAUCGUGUCUUAUGCGUCAUCAAAGAAGCCAUUCAGGAGAGAAACCAUACAAAUGCAACCAAUGUGACAAAUUCUUUGCCCAAGUGUCCCAUCUUAGUAUUCAUCAGAGAAUUCAUACAGGAGAGAAACCUUUCAAAUGCAGUGAAUGUGACAAAUGCUUUACUAUAAAAAUAAACUAAUGAGAAACCAUAAAAUUCAUACAGGAGAGAAACCUUACCAAUGUAGUAAAUGUGACAAAUGCUUUGGCAGAAAAUCCCAAUCUUCAAAUUUGCAUCAGAGAAUUCAUACAGGAGAAAACCAUACAAAUGUAGUGAAUGUGACAAAUAUUUUACUGAAAAUCCCUGGCUUAUUCAUCAAAGAAUUCAUACAGGAGAGAAACCUUUCAUAUGCAGUAAAUGUGACAAAUGCUUUGCCUACAAAGAGAGUCUUAGUAUUCAUCAGAGAAUUCAUACAGGAGAGAAACUUACAAAUGCAGUGAAUGUGACAAAUGCUUUCACAAAUCCAGUCUGAGUAUACAUCAGAGAAUUCAUACAGGAGAUAAACCAUACAAAUGCAGUGAAUGUGACAAAUGCUUUGGCUACAAAGGCAGUCUGAAAAUUCAUCAGAGAAUUCAUACAGGAGAGAAACCAUACAAAUGCAGUGAAUGUGAUAAAUACUUUAGCCAGCAAUCCAAUCUUAGUAUUCAUCAGAGAAUUCAUACAGGAGAGAAACCUUACAAAUGCAGUGAAUGUGACAAAUGCUUUGGCUACAAAGGCAGUCUGAGGAUUCAUCAGAGAGUUCAUACAGGAGAGAAACCAUACAAAUGCAGUGAAUGUGACAAAUGCUUUGCCUACCAAUCCAAUCUUACUAUUCAUCAGAGAAUUCAUAUAGGAGAUAAACCUUACAAAUGCAGUAAAUGUGACAAAUGGUUUGGCCACAGAGUUAGUUUGAGAAUUCAUCAGAGAAUUUGUACAGGAGAGAAACCAAACAAAUGUGGUUAAUAUGACAAAUGCUUUACCCAAAACUACAGUGUUUGUGUACAUCAGAGACUUCAUACGGGAGAGAAACUUUACAAAUGUGGUGAAUGUGACAUAUGCUUUGGCCGACAGUCUCAUCUUAGUAUUCAUCAGAGAAUUCAUUUAGGACAAAAACCUUUCAAAUUUCCUUUAUGUGGGAAAUGCUUUACCCACUAAGUCUUAAUUCAUCAGAGAAUUCAUACUGGAGAGAAACAAUGUAAGUGAACUGAAUGUGACAAAUCUUUUACUCACAAAGUUACUUUGACGAUUGUUCAGAGAAUUCAUCCAGGAGAAUAAAUUUACAAAUGUGUGACAAAUACUUUACCCUGAAAUGCAGUCUUCAUGUACAUUAGAGACUUCAUAGAGGAGAGAAACCUUACAAAUGCAGUGAAUGUGACAAAUGCUUUACCCAAAUGUUAGCCUAGAAAGGCAUCAGAGAUUUCAUACAUGAGAUAAUACUACUUGCAAGUGUGAUGUACAUGAAAAAUGCAUUAACUACAAUGUAAGUCUGACAUUACAUACAGUGGAGAAACAUUAUAAAUUUAGUCAAUAAAACAAUUCUUUACCUGCAAAUAUCGUCUUAAAAUUCAUUAGAUAAUACUUAAAGUAGAGAAAAUUUCAAAUGUUUUAGAGAUGUGAAUCUUUUCUUUUGGCCUAUCUUUUAGAAUUUACAGAAUAUGUACAUGUGACAAUCUGAAGAAAUAUAAUUUAUUUGGAAAUAUCUUUGACUUCAUUUCAGGUCAGAGAAAACGUUUUAAAUUUUUUUGUGCGGAAGUAUAUCUUGCAAAAAUUGAGCUUCCACACUAGAGAAUUUGUAUGAUUAUGAAAACUUCAGAAACCUUCAUGCAGUGUUCAAAUCUUAGAAAAUGUCAGGUAUUUAUGGUGAGAAAAACUCUGAAAAUAUGACAAUGUAGGAAAGUUUUCAUUAAACUUUUACCUGUUCACCCUGAAAUAUUCCAAGAUGAAGACAUGUGGGGAAGCCAGAAUAAUAUAGUGUUGUGUAACACUUUCAUGGCAACAGAAAUUAUCUAUUUCAAAGGAACUUCACCUCUCAAAAUGUCUAAUAAAACUGUCAGGAUUCUGUAUAUUCAAGUGAUCAAUUCAGACAAAUUAUACUUAAAAAGGUUUAUUUGACAAACUCAGAUACCAAAACUGUUUGUUCUUUAUCCUAUAAAUAUGUCUACAGAUGUUAAGUCUCCUUUGACAAUCCAGUACUCAUAAUUCUUAUUAAAUGCUGGUUUCAUGUUUGAGGAUAACGACUGAGACUGAUUAUGUGUCCUUGUGCUGUGUGGUCAACAACUCCUUCCCCAUUGUCCUGUAAAUAAAUGUGAAUGAUUCCCCAAGUUUGAUUUGGUUGUUUUAAGUUCAUACUUGGGAUCCUUAGAUGAAUAUAUGUUCCAUCUUCCUAGGAAAUGUCUCUCAUAAAAUAUAUGCUGAAGUCAUGAAUAUUUUCUACAAUCCCAUAACAUAAACGUUGUAGUAGUGAUUUUCAGUGGGUGGAUAUCAACCACUUUGGUUGCAGUGAUCGCUCUGUCAUAGGGGUUGCUUAAGAUCAUAGAAAACAUGUACUUAUGAUGGUCUUAGAACUGAGAAAUCAUUCAACUCCAAGUUAUUCUGCCCACAUUAGAAUUAUUUGAAUUGUAUGUCAGUGUUUAGCAUCAGAAACAUUAGAAACACUGUAUUAGAGAUUAUGAUUUGUGUUAACUAAAGUAGGGAUGAUUCUGUUCAAUAUCCAGGUUUACUGCCAUAGUAUUACUAGGUUAAUUUAAAAAGACUUGAAUCAGAAAACAUGUAGAGGCUUACAGAGACUCAACAAUUAGUCUGCACUCUUUCCUGAAUACAAGAAAAUAUGAGAGAAAAGUCAACAAGAAAGUAAAUGAAAAUAUGGCUUCAUCAUCUUCAGGUAUAGCCAUCCAGACUGUGAUGUGUCUCUGCAUGGCUCUGAAGUCAUUAGUACCCCUUAAUUGAACAAAACUCCAGUAACUUUCAGAACAAUGCUACACACUGACACAUAUUACAGAUCAUUGUUAUCCUAUCCUGUUGCACCUGAAUAUUCCACUGUACCAAAAGGAACAAAUCAGAUUUUCAUUCUUUUUCUAUUAAAACUACCUUUAUUUAAUCUUUUCCAGUUACAUUCUUUUAAACAAGGCUGUGUUUAAAAGACAUUCAGGCAAUGUUGAUUUCAUUAAUGGUGCCAGAAAAUAAGCAUAAAAAUGUAAAACAUAGUUGCCUUAACCUGAACAUACCUGCAUUACCUAUUACUGACCAGUCUGUGCCAAAGAUUUAUUCUCUGGCACUAAAAUGGAGCACUUAAAAAUAUUGCUGUAAAGCAAAUGUCUACACACUGGGCUUUGCAGCAAAUAAAGUUAUUCCUACUUUAAAAUAUUUAAGUCCAUAAUUGGAUGAAUAUACACGCCUUCUUACAUAUAAGGAGUUCAGAUCAUAAAAACACAAUACAGUCCAAAAAAAAA